rnacentral:lncRNA from 1 species
AUCCGUCAGAUCCAUCUGUUGCACAAGAUAAGGCCACCUGCAUUCAGAGAAGCACAAUCACACUUCUCUGCAAAAUUUGAAAAUACACAUAACAGAACACAUCUAAUGCCAAUUAGAUCUACUUGUUGAAACAUCAACACUUUGCUGCAGAAAUUGACAGCAGAAUAAGAAAGAAGAAGAGCCAAGGAGAUGCAACCAACUCUAAAGAAUUUACCAAAGGCAAAGAAAGCUAAAUGAAGCACAAUAACAACGCCGUUGUUACUUAUUCUUUAAUCAUGAAAUUUUCUAUUUCUAUAUGAUUUUUAUUGCUCUGCAAUUUCAAGUUCUGUAUGUCACUAAACAGAGUUGAUGAUGAAAUCAUUGUUAUUGGAUCUAGCUUAAGUUCUCAAUCUGAUUAUGUCUUCUUUGCAAAACUAAAUGACGAAGAGGCAAAAGUUUUUGGCAAUCGCGG